AACAAAUCGUGUUUCCGGGACGGAUCGGGUAGCCACACUAUGGACAUCUUUUUAUCACUGUUACUCAAGCCUCAUCAGGUCCCUCUCUGUCACCAGUCUUUCCUGGUCAUUGACGUACAGGCCCUUCUGAGCCAGAGCCUGUAUGACGUCAUCAUGACCCAGCAAAGGUUUGGCGGCGUCGCUCUUUAGGAUCAGGCUUCCUGCUCUGCAGUACAGCUCGGCUGACAGCAGCAGGCCCGCCACCGGAGGUUUAAGGCUCUCUCUCUCGCUGGAGAAGAUGAAGGCCAGAGAAAAGCCCUUAAAGGAAGUGGCUCUGUGUCUACCACGCAUCUAGAAUAUCAAAACCACCAUCAAUAUGAGUGAUUUCCAUGUGGAUGUUUCAGCAACACAAAUGGGUUCAUGGAUCGGCUGAAUGAGGUCACAGUAUCCACGGUGAACGAAUAUGUUUAGCUAUUUAUUGAGAUGGCAAGAACUAUUAAGCUACAUCUUUUGUAAGUCAAAACUGACUGUGCUAAUGGCAAAGUAGAUGUGGAUGUUGUAUGAAUUUUAACAUGAGCACAAUGAACAUGCAAAUGAAGCAUAUAGUGUAUAACUUUAGUGGUUUUAGGUUUUUAAUGUGGCAGCUCAACAAUCAAACUUUACACCGAUGCUAUCUGAGCCACUAGGCGUUGACAAUCUAAGUAAAAAAUAUGACUGUGUCGAGAUGACUGUGGUUGCCAUAGCAACAAUAGGGAGGUUGAUCGAUUCCCCUGCUGUAUGUAUCUACCCAGGAGCUCCUCACAAGCCUCAUCAAACAGAGAAAAGACACAGGAGAGAGAAAGAGAGAGUGGAACUACACACGUGUUAUAUUUUUGCAUCUUCAUACUACAAUUGAAUCACAUUUCAAAGGGCGAGUAGCUAAAACAGUUAAAGGGCAUGACUUAGCAAAUAAACAAUGCUAGACCUCUUAUGAGAUUUAAUAUGUAUUAUUUCCAAGCCUUUUUUCACAAUUACUUUCAACUAACUCACAAGGUCACGGGUGUAUGAAGUCUCCCCCUCAUUUUUUAAUGCUUCAUAGUUGUUAAUGCUACAGUUUUUGCUACAACUUUUUUGCUUGUCCAAAUUGUGUUUAAAAUAAAUGUCAUGUGCAAAGUUAGAUAGAGUACUACUUAUUUUAUUUUAUUUACACAUGUAAAAAACAACUGCAAAAACUAUA